UGGGGAAUUUUGGACAAUGGGCGAAAGCCUGAUCCAGCCAUUCCGCGUGCAGGACGAAGGCCUUCGGGUUGUAAACUGCUUUUGUACGGAACGAAAAAGUUUCAGCUAAUACCUGGAAUCCAUGACGGUACCGUAAGAAUAAGCACCGGCUAACUACGUGCCAGCAGCCGCGGUAAUACGUAGGGUGCAAGCGUUAAUCGGAAUUACUGGGCGUAAAGCGUGCGCAGGCGGUCUUGUAAGACAGAUGUGAAAUCCCCGGGCUCAACCUGGGAACUGCAUUUGUGACUGCAAGGCUGGAGUGCGGCAGAGGGGGAUGGAAUUCCGCGUGUAGCAGUGAAAUGCGUAGAUAUGCGGAGGAACACCGAUGGCGAAGGCAAUCCCCUGGGCCUGCACUGACGCUCAUGCACGAAAGCGUGGGGAGCAAACAGG
rnacentral:rRNA from 1 species